CACAGGCUCCAUUCAAGAAUCUCAAGUAUUCAAGAUGGACGGAGGGGAAUGCAGAGAGAGAAGCGGGAGCUGCUUAGUGCCCGCCACUUUCUUGCCCGGGAAAAGCGGGGGGAAACUCUAAAGUUUUGACCUCCGCCACGGGGGCAAGCGAGAGACGAGGAGAAGCCAGAGAACUGCUGAAAGGGUGGAAUUCCUGAACAGUCUUUCUGAAACAUAAAACUGGAUACUCCUGCUGGAUGAAGACAAAAGAGAAUGGUUUGAUUGAUAUGUACCAUGCAGCAGUCCAAUAUUCUAUACAGGGCCUUCUAAAGAAAGUGCAUUGAUAAAAUCCCAAUUCUUGUGUGAUCCUUCUCACCCUUCAGUGAUAUUAUGAGAAGGUAAUUCUCUUGUUCCCGCGGAGAAAGCAAAGGGCCGCCUGAUGCACUGGGCACGGCCCCUGCCCGAGGCUCUUUUCACAUUGUGCUACUGAGCCCAACCCAAGCAGUGCAAUGUAAAAAGGGCAUUGGGUUGGUGGCCACAGCAGCAUGAAUUCUUUAUACUUCCAUUGGGGGUAAAGUUGAAAGGCUAGGCAUGGAGACUUGUUACAUGAGGCAUAAUGGAGGAAAAAAUAUAUUAUUUCCCCACUUCAUCCUGCUAGCACAAUGGUUUCUGUGACAGGAGCUAUCUGUUCACUCCUUUCAGAGGAGUUUUCAAUCUCAAUUGCUGGGUUUGGAUAAAUUUGAUACCAACAUGAUUUGGUAUCCCAACAGUAGCUAACAUAUAGGUCAUUGCUUUGUUCUCUUUUUGAGGCAGUACAGCAACCUAUCAUCAAAUAAAUGUUACUUGCUCACC